CUUUUAAAUGGGUGGUGUAAGAGAGCAAACCCUAAUUUUUUGCUAUUCUUUUUCUUUCUCCUUACAACACAAAGCUACCACCUUCAACGUUUUCCUCUCCAUCUUCCCCAAACACAUCCCAUUCCCAUUUUCACCCUUUCUUGUCCAUUUUCCUUCACCCAUCAGCACUCCAAACAACCAAAUCCACUUUCACUCCCUUUCCUUGCCGAGUUCCUCCAUUAAUGGAGAACUCCGAGCUCCCUCUUUUCCAGCGAAACCCAAGAUCUGCAGUGAGUUUCAACUUGAAGCAACCAACGACAAUAGCUCGAACUCGGCAAAGUAAGGAGAAACAACAAGGCUUCUAUGGCGAAACUCCAAUCUCCAACCACGAGAAAACACCAUCGAUCUCCCUUCAACUUUGGUGUUAGAGAUCAUCAAGAGGAGCAUCAUUGAUGAACACAUUCAUCCAGGUUUUGGAUAAUAAGCUUCCAAAUGAGUGAUCAUAUCAUGAAAUGGAUAUAUAGAGGUGAUUAAGAAUUAAAGUAAGAGUUUUAGGCCAAAGGGAGCUUGUUAAAAUAUAUUUAAUUUGAAAGUUUUAUUUUGAGAAAGUAUUUGAAGUGUUCUAGUAUGUGUUAUGACUUGGGAUGACCAUAUCUCUCAAUAUAUGAUGAUUUAAAGAGACGAUUACUUA